rnacentral:rRNA from 1 species
UUCGCAAUGCCCGAAAGGGUGACGAAGCGACGCCGCGUGCGGGAAGAAGGCCUUCGGGUUGUAAACCGCUGUCGGGAGUUAGGAAAUGCAAGGAUGUUAAUAGCGUCCUUGCUUGACUAAGGCUCCGGAGGAAGCCACGGCUAACUCUGUGCCAGCAGCCGCGGUAAUACAGAGGCGGCAAGCGUUGUUCGGAAUUAUUGGGCGUAAAGAGCUCGUAGGCGGCUCUGUAAGUCAGCUGUGAAAGCCUUCUGCUUAACGGAAGAACAGCAGUUGAAACUACAGUACUUGAGUGCGGGAGGGGAGAGUGGAACUUCUGGUGGAGCGGUGAAAUGCGUAGAUAUCAGAAGGAACGCCGGCGGCGAAAGCGGCUCUCUGGCCCGUAACUGACGCUGAGUGUGCGAAAGCUAGGGGAGCAAACGGGAUUAGAUACCCCGGUAGUCCUAACUGUAAACGAUGGGCACUAAGUAGAGGGGUUUU